GGAUGUGAGGGUGAUCUGUCUGUGCCAUCUGUCACCCCAUUGGUUGUCCAAGUUAAUUCGGCUGAUCUGGCUGGCUAGGCAGGUGUUCCCUUCCUCCCUCACCACUCCAUGUGUGUCCCUCCCAAAGCUGUGCUCGAUGGAAGAGGAUUACCAUUCCCGAGAGAGGAGGACUAGUCUUCGGUCAAGUGUAUACGGGUAGCUGUGCUCCCCUGCUAGAACCUCCAAACAAUCUCUCAAGGUCCACCAGUCCCACUCCCAUGACAACCCACUAAUCCAUUGACCCAUUAAUCCAUGAAUGGAUUAAU
ensembl:misc_RNA 7SK 7SK RNA